rnacentral:rRNA from 1 species
UACGUAGGGGGCAAGCGUUGUCCGGAAUCAUUGGGCGUAAAGAGCGUGUAGGCGGCCCGGUAAGUCCGCUGUGAAAGUCGGGGGCUCAACCCUCGAAUGCCGGUGGAUACUGUCGGGCUAGAGUGCGGAAGAGGCGAGUGGAAUUCCUGGUGUAGCGGUGAAAUUCGUAGAUAUCGGGAGGAACACCAGUGGCGAAGGCGGCGAUCUGGGAAGAUACUGACGCUGAGGUGCGAAAGCGUGGGGAGCAAACAGG